rnacentral:ncRNA from 1 species
CGGGGAUUAGAAAAGUAGCCUGUGGUGGGUGAAAUUACGGUUCGGAGAAGGAAUAAAGGAACGCAUGACCUUAUAGAUUUUCAAUCUAUUAAAUUACCUCACUCAUUCAGCUUACCGGACGCUUUUUGCAUGGCUGAGAGUGUAGUUGUAUCAGUUUCAUGGUAAGUUAGACGAGCUUCCAUUAAAACUACAAAAGACUUCCAGAAGCAGGGUGGGAUAAUACGAAGAGAUACGAAC